AACGAACGCUGGCGGCGGGGCUUAGGCAUGCAAGUCGAGCGAGAAAGUCUUCGGACGAGUACAGCGGCGCAAGGGUGAGUAAUGGUUAGUCAACGUACCCUCAGGACAUGGAUAAUUCGCCGAAAGGUGUUGUAAUACAUGAUGAUAUCACGUGCCGUACGCGGCGUGUGAUCAAACGUCGGGGAUCCUUCGGGACCUGGCGCCUGUGGAGCGGACUAACUCUGAUUAGCUAGUUGGCGGUGUAACGGACCACCAAGGCGAUGAUCAGUAGCCGGGCUGAGAGGCUGUCCGGCCACACGGGCACUGAGACACUGGCCCGACUCCUACGGGAGGCUGCAGUCGCGAAUUUUUCACAAUGGACGCAAGUCUGAUGAAGCCACGCCGCGUGCGGGAUGAAGGCCCUCUGGGUUGUAAACCGCUGUCAGGGGAGGGGAAACGUACGUAGUUAAUAGCUGCGUACUUGACUGCUCUCCAAAGGAAGCCCCGGCAAAACAUGUGCC
rnacentral:rRNA from 1 species